rnacentral:rRNA from 1 species
GUCGAGCGGUAAGGCCUUUCGGGGUACACGAGCGGCGAACGGGUGAGUAACACGUGGGUGAUCUGCCCUGCACUUCGGGAUAAGCCUGGGAAACUGGGUCUAAUACCGGAUAUGACCUCCUAUCGCAUGGUGGGUGGUGGAAAGAUUUAUCGGUGCAGGAUGGGCCCGCGGCCUAUCAGCUUGUUGGUGGGGUAAUGGCCUACCAAGGCGACGACGGGUAGCCGACCUGAGAGGGUGACCGGCCACACUGGGACUGAGACACGGCCCAGACUCCUACGGGAGGCAGCAGUGGGGAAUAUUGCACAAUGGGCGAAAGCCUGAUGCAGCGACGCCGCGUGAGGGAUGACGGCCUUCGGGUUGUAAACCUCUUUCAGCAGGGACGAAGCGCAAGUGACGGUACCUGCAGAAGAAGCACCGGCUAACUACGUGCCAGCAGCCGCGGUAAUACGUAGGGUGCAAGCGUUGUCCGGAAUUACUGGGCGUAAAGAGUUCGUAGGCGGUUUGUCGCGUCGUUUGUGAAAACCAGCAGCUCAACUGCUGGCUUGCAGGCGAUACGGGCAGACUUGAGUACUGCAGGGGAGACUGGAAUUCCUGGUGUAGCGGUGAAAUGCGCAGAUAUCAGGAGGAACACCGGUGGCGAAGGCGGGUCUCUGGGCAGUAACUGACGCUGAGGAACGAAAGCGUGGGUAGCGAACAGGAUUAGAUACCCUGGUAGUCCACGCCGUAACGGUGGGCGCUAGGUGUGGGUUCCUUCCACGGAAUCC